UAUGGUCUCCUGUAAAUAAUAUUUUCUGAUUCAUUUUGCACAAAGAUGUACGGAGGGGAGAAAAUGGUGAAGUGGAGAUCAUUAGCAACGUCCAGCCUCUCUAAGAUCCAGAAUCCAGACAUGGGAAAUAACAACUUGGCAAGCAAGCAAACAAACAAAUCCAUGAUUUAACAUCUGACUGCUCCGUACUGACAUUAUUCAUGUGAUUCAAGUAAAUCUCCAGGAACUGACAAGGCAAUGCACUAUAAGGACAAGAAGAAUAAAGAAGUAAGACGCAGAAUGCAAGAGUUAUCGGAUCUUAAAAACUUCCACUCAGAUUUCAAAGGAAUGGCUUGGCAGCCAGGCAAAGGAGCCACUGAAAGGGUGAUGUGUGAAGCUGUGAGAGUACAGAUGAAGCUGUAACAGAAAGCUUUAAAAGUGUGAGAUAUCAGGAAUAUGGAACACCUGUCAAGGAAAGCUGCAAGUAGUAAGCAGAGCCAGCUUACUGGAGAGAGAA
rnacentral:lncRNA from 1 species